UACGUAGGGGGCAAGCGUUGUCCGGAUUUAUUGGGCGUAAAGAGCGUGUAGGCGGCCAGACAGGUCCGUUGUGAAAACUGGAGGCUUAACCUUCAGACGUCGAUGGAAACCGUUUGGCUAGAGUCCGGAAGAGGAGAGUGGAAUUCCUGGUGUAGCGGUGAAAUGCGCAGAUACCAGGAGGAACACCGAUGGCGAAGGCGGCUUGCUGGGCGUGAUCUGACGCUGAGGCGCGAAAGCUAGGGGAGCAAACGGG
rnacentral:rRNA from 1 species